rnacentral:rRNA from 1 species
UGGGGAAUAUUGGACAAUGGGCGCAAGCCUGAUCCAGCCAUGCCGCGUGAGUGAUGAAGGCCCUAGGGUUGUAAAGCUCUUUCACCGGUGAAGAUAAUGACGGUAACCGGAGAAGAAGCCCCGGCUAACUUCGUGCCAGCAGCCGCGGUAAUACGAAGGGGGCUAGCGUUGUUCGGAUUUACUGGGCGUAAAGCGCACGUAGGCGGACUAUUAAGUCAGGGGUGAAAUCCCGGGGCUCAACCCCGGAACUGCCUUUGAUACUGGUAGUCUUUAGUUCUAGAGAGGUGAGUGGGAUUCCGAGGGUAGAAGUGAAAUUCGUAGAUAUUAGGAGGAACACCAGUGGCGAAGACGGCUCACUGGCGCGAUACUGACGCUGAGGUGCGAAAGCGUGGGGAGCAAACAGG